AGUGAACGCUGGCGGUAGGCCUAACACAUGCAAGUCGAACGGCAGCACAGUAAGAGCUUGCUCUUACGGGUGGCGAGUGGCGGACGGGUGAGGAAUACAUCGGAAUCUACUUUUUCGUGGGGGAUAACGUAGGGAAACUUACGCUACUACCGCAUACGACCUACGGGUGAAAGCAGGGGAUCUUCGGACCUUGCGCGACUGAAUGAGCCGAUGGCGGAUUAGCUAGUUGGCGGGGUAAAGGCCCACCAAGGCAACGAUCCGUAGCUGGUCUGAGAGGAUGAUCAGCCACACUGGAACUGAGACACGGUCCAGACUCCUACGGGAGGCAGCAGUGGGGAAUAUUGGACAAUGGGCGCAAGCCUGAUCCAGCCAUACCGCGUGGGUGAAGAAGGCCUUCGGGUUGUAAAGCCCUGUUGUUGGGAAAGAAAAGCAGCAGGUGAAUACCCCGCUGUUCUGACGGUACCCAAAGAAUAAGCACCGGCUAACUUCGUG
rnacentral:rRNA from 1 species